rnacentral:rRNA from 1 species
CAAUAGCGUAUAUUAAAGUUGUUGCAGUUAAAAAGCUCGUAGUUGGAUUUCUGGUAGGAGUGACCGUGCCAGACUUGAUUGUCUGUGUAUUGUGUUGUCUCCAGCCGUCCUUGUGGAGAACUUUUCUUGCAUUAAUUUGUAGGGAUUGGGACCCGCAUCGUUUACUGUGAAAAAAUUAGAGUGUUUAAAGCAGGCAAUCGCUUGAAUACAUCAGCAUGGAAUAAUAAGAUAGGACUUUGGUACUAUUUUGUUGGUUUGCAUACCAAAUUAAUGAUCAACAGGAACAGUUUGAGGAUAUUCGUAUGAACAUGUCAGAGGUGAAAUUCUUGGAUUUUGAUCAGACGAACUACUGCGAAAGCAUUUAUCAAGGAUGUUUUCAUUAA